CAGGACAGUAGUGUUCUUAAGAGGAGCUGGCCUAAAGAGGCAGUGCAAAUCAAAGCAGCACUGAACAACAAAAGUUUUUCCAAUCACUGUCAUGCGGCUCUGGAUGUACAACUCCAAGGAAUCUUAAAGGAAGCCAGCUGCGGAAUGCCACAAAGCAUGUACACAACACAGAUGGUGCUAACAAAAGCCAGAGAGGCUUCCCAGGCCUGAGGUGGGAACUAUUUCUGCAC
rnacentral:lncRNA from 1 species